rnacentral:lncRNA from 1 species
UUGGUGGAUGGUCACGAUGUAGUUAUAGUGGCUGCUAAUUUACAGAAGAUUGUAGAUGAUCCCAAAGCUUUAAAAACAUUGACAUUUAAGUUGAAUCAAUUUUUGCAUUUGGAAGCAUUUGACUCUGCAGCGUUAGGGAACGUUUUCUGAUUGUGACUGGAAGUGUCCUCUUCUAUGAGCAUAGCUUUUUCUUAUCGUCACACCUUUGACUAAGAGCGGCCAUAUAAGAAUCUUGAAGCCUAGAUCAUUUUGCUUGCAGUUUGUAUUGCAACUUGACCAUAAAGACAAAAUUACACUGAAUUCAAAGCAACACUCUUAAUAAAGCUUUCCU